GACGAACGCUGGCGGCGUGCCUAAUACAUGCAAGUGGGACGCAAGGGAACACACUGUGCUUGCACACCGUGUUUUCUUGAGUCGCGAACGGGUGAGUAACGCGUAGGUAACCUGCCUAUUAGCGGGGGAUAACUAUUGGAAACGAUAGCUAAUACCGCAUAAUAUUAAUUAUUGCAUGAUAAUUGAUUGAAAGAUGCAAGCGCAUCACUAGUAGAUGGACCUGCGUUGUAUUAGCUAGUUGGUAAGGUAAGAGCUUACCAAGGCGACGAUACAUAGCCGACCUGAGAGGGUGAUCGGCCACACUGGGACUGAGACACGGCCCAGACUCCUACGGGAGGCAGCAGUAGGGAAUCUUCGGCAAUGGACGAAAGUCUGGGCGACAACGCCGCGUGAGUGAAGAAGGUUUUCGGAUCGUAAAGUUUUUUUGUAAGUCAGAGAAACGUGUGUGAGAUUUUUUUU
rnacentral:rRNA from 1 species